AUCGCUUCUCAGCCUUUUCGCUAAGAUCAAGUGUAGUAUCUAUUCUUAUCAGUUUAGUAUCUGAUACAUCCUCUAUCCGAGGACAAUAUAUUAAAUGGAUUUUUGGAGCUGAGAGUUGGAAUAGGAGCUUGCUCUGUCCACUCCAUGCUUCGACCUGAUAUUGCAGUACUUCCAGGAACGUUGCAACCCCC
rnacentral:snRNA from 1 species